rnacentral:lncRNA from 1 species
AAACUUAUUAAAUUAACACUUGAAAAAACAUUUUUAAAAUUAGAUAAAGAAAUGUUAUUAACAGAAAAUCAGGAAAAAUUAAAAAAGUAUAAUGUACCAGCACAAGAAGCUGAAGAAGAACCAGAAACAAGAGAGAACUAUUUAUAUUCUAUUUUAAAUGAUAUUAUAUCUAAAAAUAUUAGUAUUAAAGCUUUAGAAAAAGAUGGAAAAAGAUGUUUACAAGUUGUUUAUAAUAAAGAUGGGACACUUGUAGAAGACGAAGAAAACUCUGUUGAUUCUAUCCAACCAUUACCCGAAGAUAAUGAACAUAAUAAUGAUAAUACAUUAACAGUUGAUUAUAACAAUGAAGGAAUAUUUCGUAUAUUAAAAGAAGAUGAUGAAACAUUACAAAAUGAUAAUAAUGUUAAUACAGAACUAUACAAAAAAGCAGAUUCGGAGGGUAUUAAAAAAAUGGACAGCAACGAUAAUGGUACUAAUAAUACCAGUACUACUAAUAAUGCUAAUACGAGUAAUAGCAAUGAAGAUAGUGAUUACGUAAUAAAAACAUUAAACACGGAUUUCGAACAAUUAAAUGCUAAUAAAAAUUGUGAUAAUGAUACAAAACUAACUGAAAAUGAUAAGAACGAAAAUUCAGUCAUAAUAAAUAAUGAUGGUGAUAAUAGUAACAAUAAUAAUAGUAAUAAUAAUGAUGAUAAUAAUAAUAAUAAUAGUAAUAGUAGUAAUGAUAAUAUAUUAAAUAAUUCGAAUAUUUUAGAAAAGCAACAAAAAAAGACGGAUAAUGAAUUAUCAGCAUCAAACUUAUCUCCUAAAGAUAGUAAAAAUAAAAUAAAAGAUGAAAAGCAAAAUAAAGAACAAUCAGAUUAUUCAAAUAAUGAAAAUAAUACUGAAAUUACGAAUACUAAAAGAUUAAAAAAAGAUGAAAAUGAUGAAUUUGUUAAAGCGGAAAGAGAAGAGUUACAACAAGAGGGAAGAGAAAAAGAAAAAGAAGUAUCUGAUCAUAAAGAUAUAAAAAAAAAUAACUCUGAAGUAACAAAUGACACAAAUAUAACAGAAAAUAGCGAACCAAACAAAUCAGAUGAUAAAGUCGAAUUAACGUAUGAAAAUUUAAAAUGUAUGGAAAAACUAAACGAAGAAGAAGAAAACAAAAAAAAAACCAACAAUAAUAAUAAUAAUAAUAAUAAUAAUGAAACAAAUGAAUAUGAUAAUAACGCAACAAAUAAUAAUUCUAACACGAAUAUAAGUAACUGUAAUUAUAAUGCAUUAAAAUUAUAUGAAAAAGAUAUGAAUGAAGAAGGUUUCUCAUUAAACGAAGUAAUAAAAGAGGUUAUUGAUAAUAAUAUUACUGAUAAUAUAGAAGAUGGUAUUAAUGUUACUAGGAGCAAUACUGAAAACGUUACUAUUACGGAUAGUUCUAAUGUUUAUACUGAAGAAGAUGAUUUGAAUAAUGUUUAUUCACCAGAUGAAUUACGUUUAUAUGAAAAUUAUUACCCAAACAAUUAUGAAGAUAACAUUGCUUAUAGUUGUGGGUCAACAGCUAUAGUAGCAGUCUUGUUAAAAGGAUAUUUAAUUGUUGCAAAU